rnacentral:hammerhead_ribozyme from 11 species
AACUGGUUGAGAGCUGGGCCGCUCUCCUAAUGAGCCCAUGGCAAAGCGAAACCAGUG